AGAACAGCAAUAGACUUUCAAGAGGAGGAACUCACAUUUCUGCAAAAGAAAGAGGCCAUAAAUGAAAAGCAGCUUGGAGAGAAUGAGCCCACAUGCAUGAGACACAGCACACGACUCAUACCCUUCUUCCUCAAGUUUCUCUAACAUGUGUGGCUCUUGGAAACAGACAUGUAAUGGCUGAGUUAUUUUUUGUGCAAAUAAGUUGUGGUGUUCUAUCAGUGCCAUUGAAGUGUGGCGCGGAAGAACAGGCUCCUGUCGGUACAUUCCCCUGCCCCUGCGCUUGUUCAUAGUUCUCACAUGUGAGGGGAAAGGAGAAGGCUUUGGGUUUGCAUCUGAUUUACCAACUGUUCCUCAGGACACAUCUGCCUCUCCAGGACCUCAGAUUCCUGACAACACUGUUGGCUUCCCGGAGACUCCUUCAUCCUGCAGAAGAUGCAAUUCCACGGGGUCCUGAGAGAUUGGACAUGGACAUCUGGCUGUGGGCUGUGAGACAUAAACCUCCAUGUCAAGCUCAUACAAAAUCAGCCACGCAAACACUGACCUCCAGGGCUGUUUUAACCAUUCGUGAGUCCCUGAGUUGGCCGGGCAUCAAAAUCAGUGUGGAUAAGAACUAAAUCUUGUUGGAGGAUUGCUUUGGAGGGUUUCACUCUGUCACCCAGGCUGGAAUGCCAUGAUAAAAUCACAGCUCACUAUAGCCUCGACCUCCCAGGCUUGAGUGAUCCUCCCACCUCAGCCUCCUGAGUAGGUGGGACUACAGGUUCUCAUUCACACUCAGUCUUGGAAAAACCAUCACCUUGUCCUGAAUCUACACUGCACUUAACCUAUUUGUUUGUUGCGUUCUUAAGUGAAGGAAAAAUCACUUUCACAGAUAAAAAGCAGGUCUGCACAGUCCCUCCGGUAGAGCCAAAGAGGUGGCAUCAACAUAAAAGAUUUUCCUGGUCAGCUCCUCCUGUAAAAUACGUUUGCCUCUGGAGAUCUUCCUCCCCAAUGGCACCAUCUUGACAAAGGUCACUGGAAGUAAAGGAGCCUGAAAAUCCACAGUUUCAUCUUUGUGCUUUCUUGAAGCUGAAAGAGAGGAUUUCUUCAUUCUGUCUCACUUUGCAAAGGCACAUCCCCCCUUCCCACUGAGUGGACUUGAUGAAAGCAUCUCAUGGAAGAAAGAGCUAGUGAUUGUGCAUCAACCACUUGCAAUGUCAUUUCACGGCUGCACCUGUCAGGUCCAGCCAUUUUAAUUAGCCAAUGAUUUAAGGCAAAGGAAUUCCCAGGAAAAUCAGAUAAAACACAGAGGAAAACAACUUUAGAACCUGGACAGAUAAGAUCUAUGAUAUGAAUACAAUCAACUUACAACUCUGGCUUCUAAUGGGUUUGCUGUUUUUUAGAUUUCACUGCUCUGAAAUUGACUAAGUUUGACUAGUAAACAAUAAAGCUUCUAGGCUCCUCAAAA